rnacentral:rRNA from 1 species
UUAACUCCGUGCGAGCGGCCGCGUACAUACGUAGGGUCCAAGAGUUGUCCGGAAUGACUUGGCGUAAAGAGUUGCGUAGGUGGCAUGUUAAGCGAAUAGUGAAAUGACGAGGCUCAACCUUGUGUCCAUUAUUUGAACUGGCAAGCUAGAGAAUGUGAGAGGUACCUGGAAUUCCCUGUGUAGGAGUGAAAUCCGUAGAUAUAGGGAGGAACACCGAUGGCGUAGGCAGGGUACUGGCACAUUUCUGACACUAAGGCACGAAAGCGUGGGGAGCAAACGGGAUUAGAUACCCCAGUAGUC